AAGAAUGGACCUCCAGAACGAAUUAAGUUCUUAACCCGAGGUACCACUGUACCUACAAGAUGCUCAGAAAGUUGAGGUCAUUUUAAUCUGUUUCUGUACAGUGGUACCUCGGGUUAAGUACUUAAUUCGUUCCGGAG